rnacentral:lncRNA from 1 species
CCUUCCCCAGCUUUGGGGCCACAGAGGGACAGAAACCGCAGGCAGGCUGGCCUGGGAAUGAACCUACACCAGCCUGAAGUCAGAAGAGCCUCUAGGAGCCUCCAGCCUGGACUCUUUUUACAGAUGGGGAAACUGAGUCCCAGAGAGGGAGCAAUGAAGGAUGUCUAAGGUCAUCAGCAACGUAAAGCCAACAGCAUCAUCCUGAGUCAUGUUUGAACCUGAGGGAAAGAAACAUAUGUUCGAAGAGGUUCUGAGGCUGCUGCACCCGAUAUCAUACCUGGUUGGCCCUGGGAAAGGGCCCACCUCCAAUACAUAAACACAACCAGCUUUGACAGUGAGCCCUGAAGCAUGGCAUUGAGAAGCUGCCUAAGAAGGAGGCAGAUCCAUCAGCCUGGGUGCCCGACUGAUUACCCUGAGCAGAGCUCCCCAGCCCACCUGUGAUGGACGCAUGGAGCUUGAGCAAGGAAUAAAUAUUCGUUGCUUUUCCAUCCAGCUGUUUGGCAUUGGAUACUGCUGCCUCUGCUUGACUUGAGAAUGUGUGAGAAAAGCUGUGUUUAGACAACUGAAAACCAUGAGCUUGAAAGUAGUGGGGGCACACUCUUGGAGACUCCAGUUGCUCACCAGCUUGGACAAACCACUGGACUCAAAUGAUCAGGUAGAAAUUCAUCACUGGAGAGAACACAGUGGAAUGGCUUCAGCGAAAACUCACUCUGAAGGUCUUCAGGGCAACUUUAAGACUUGCCCCUGGCCGGGCACAGUGGCUUAUGCCUAUAAUCCCAGCACUUUGGGAGGCCGAGGCGGGUGGAUCACCUGAGGUCAGGAGUUCAAGAC